AAGCAUGUAGGCUGAUUGUCCAGGCAAAUCCGGAUAAUCAAGGCUGAGGUGUGAUGACGAGGCACUACGGUGCUGAAGUAACAAAUGCCCUGCUUCCAGGAAAAGCCUCUAAGCAUCAGGUAACAUCAAAUCGUACCCCAAACCGACACAGGUGGUCAGGUAGAGAAUACCAAGGCGCUUGAGAGAACUCGGGUGAAGGAACUAGGCAAAAUGGUGCCGUAACUUCGGGAGAAGGCACGCUGGUGUGUAGGUGAAGCCCCUGCGGGUGGAGCUGAGACCAGUCGAAGAUACCAGCUGGCUGCAACUGUUUAUUAAAAACACAGCACUGUGCAAACACGAAAGUGGACGUAUACGGUGUGACGCCUGCCCGGUGCCGGAAGGUUAAUUGAUGGGGUUAUCCGUAAGGAGAAGCUCUUGAUCGAAGCCCCGGUAAACGGCGGCCGUAACUAUAACGGUCCUAAGGUAGCGAAAUUCCUUGUCGGGUAAGUUCCGACCUGCACGAAUGGCGUAAUGAUGGCCAGGCUGUCUCCACCCGAGACUCAGUGAAAUUGAACUCGCUGUGAAGAUGCAGUGUACCCGCGGCAAGACGGAAAGACCCCGUGAACCUUUACUAUAGCUUGACACUGAACAUUGAGCCUUGAUGUGUAGGAUAGGUGGGAGGCUUUGAAGCGUGGACGCCAGUCUGCGUGGAGCCAACCUUGAAAUACCACCCUUUAAUGUUUGAUGUUCUAACGUUGGCCCCUUACCGGGGUUGCGGACAGUGUCUGGUGGGUAGUUUGACUGGGGCGGUCUCCUCCCAAAGCGUAACGGAGGAGCACGAAGGUUAGCUAAUCCUGGUCGGACAUCAGGAGGUUAGUGCAAUGGCAUAAGCUAGCUUGACUGCGAGCGUGACGGCGCGAGCAGGUGCGAAAGCAGGUCAUAGUGAUCCGGUGGUUCUGAAUGGAAGGGCCAUCGCUCAACGGAUAAAAGGUACUCCGGGGAUAACAGGCUGAUACCGCCCAAGAGUUCAUAUCGACGGCGGUGUUUGGCACCUCGAUGUCGGCUCAUCACAUCCUGGGGCUGAAGUAGGUCCCAAGGGUAUGGCUGUUCGCCAUUUAAAGUGGUACGCGAGCUGGGUUUAGAACGUCGUGAGACAGUUCGGUCCCUAUCUGCCGUGGGCGCUGGAGAAUUGAGGGGGGCUGCUCCUAGUACGAGAGGACCGGAGUGGACGCAUCACUGGUGUUCGGGUUGUCAUGCCAAUGGCACUGCCCGGUAGCUAAAUGCGGAAGAGAUAAGUGCUGAAAGCAUCUAAGCACGAAACUUGCCCCGAGAUGAGUUCUCCCUGAGACUUUAAGUCUCCUGAAGGAACGUUAAAGACGAUGACGUUGAUAGGCCGGGUGUGUAAGCGCAGCGAUGCGUUGAGCUAACCGGUACUAAUGAACCGUGAGGCUUAACCUU
rnacentral:rRNA from 1 species